UGGUCGUCCAGAUUUAGCAUGAAGCGAUAGUCGCUAGGACUUAGCUCACCCUGCUCAACCAUUUUCAAGCUAAAAGACUAGAAGGAUAUGUGAAGAGAGAGAGGAAGAAUAUAUGGAGGAAUAGAUGGGUGAGAAAGAAAACCUACUUGGAAGCAAAGGAAGGAGACAAAGGAUACAAAGCAGUCGCCAAAAAUCUUCGAAAAUCCUUCGAAAAGGGUCAUAUCAUGGAAAAAGAAAAAAAUGCCCCUCAUUCCAAAAAGCUACCAUAAUGGACAAGAGAAAGAAGGAAUAGAAGACUCUGGAAGUAAUUGAAAAAGUCAAGGACAAGCACUUCUUCUAUUUAUAGCUAGGAGAAGAUAACGCCCAGAUAUUAAAUCAUUUCUUCUCCAACA
rnacentral:lncRNA from 1 species